AACUUAAGCAUAUCAAUAAGCGGAGGAAAAGAAACCAACAGGGAUUACCUCAGUAACGGCGAGUGAAGCGGUAACAGCUCAAAUUUGAAAUCUGGCUCUUUUAGGGUCCGAGUUGUAAUUUGUAGAAGAUGCUUCGGGUGUGGCUCCGGUCUAAGUUCCUUGGAACAGGACGUCAUAGAGGGUGAGAAUCCCGUAUGUGACUGGUAGCCUUCGCCCAUGUGAAGCUCUUUCGACGAGUCGAGUUGUUUGGGAAUGCAGCUCUAAAUGGGUGGUAUAUUUCAUCUAAAGCUAAAUAUUGGCCAGAGACCGAUAGCGCACAAGUAGAGUGAUCGAAAGAUGAAAAGCACUUUGGAAAGAGAGUUAAACAGUACGUGAAAUUGUUGAAAGGGAAGCGCUUGCAACCAGACUUGCAUGCCAUUGAUCAUCCCAGGUUCUCCUGGGUGCACUCGGUGGUGUUCAGGCCAGCAUCGGUUUGGGUGGUUGGAUAAAGGCCUUGGGAAUGUGGCUCCUCUCGGGGAGUGUUAUAGCCCUCGGUGCAAUGCAGCCUACCCAGACCGAGGACCGCGCUUCGGCUAGGAUGCUGGCGUAAUGGUUGUAAGCGACCCGUCUUGAAACACGGACCAAGGAGUCUAACAUCUAUGCGAGUGUUUGGGUGUUAAACCCAUACGCGUAAUUAACGUGAACGGAGGUGAGAACCCUUUAGGGUGCAUCAUCGACCGAUCCUGAUGUCUUCGGAUGGAUUUGAGUAAGAGCAUAGCUGUUGGGACCCGAAAGAUGGUGAACUAUGCCUAAAUAGGGUGAAGCCAGAGGAAACUCUGGUGGAGGCUCGCAGCGGUUCUGACGUGCAAAUCGAUCGUCAAAUUUGGGUAUAGGGGCGAAAGACUAAUCGAACCAUCUAGUAGCUGGUUCCUGC
rnacentral:rRNA from 1 species